rnacentral:rRNA from 1 species
AUUGAACGCUGGCGGCAUGCUUUACACAUGCAAGUCGAACGGGCUUGGGGGCUUGCUCCCAAGUUAGUGGCGAACGGGUGAGUAAUACAUCGGAACGUACCGUGUAGUGGGGGGUAACGUAGCGAAAGUUACGCUAAUACCGCAUACAAUCUACGGAUGAAAGCAGGGGACCUUCGGGCCUUGUGCUAUACGAGCGGCCGAUGUCUGAUUAGCUAGUUGGUGAGGUAAAGGCUCACCAAGGCGACGAUCUGUAGCGGGUCUGAGAGGAUGAUCCGCCACACUGGAACUGAGACACGGUCCAGACUCCUACGGGAGGCAGCAGUGGGGAAUUUUGGACAAUGGGCGAAAGCCUGAUCCAGCAAUGCCGCGUGAGUGAUGAAGGCCUUAGGGUUGUAAAGCUCUUUUACCAGGGAUGAUAAUGACAGUACCUGGAGAAUAAGCUCCGGCUAACUCCGUGCCAGCAGCCGCGGU